GUCUUUUUGAUUUUAAUUUAAAGUUUAACCUGCCCAUUGAAAAUUUUUAAAAGGCUGCGGUAUUYUGACUGUACAAAGGUAGCAUAAUCAUUAGUUUUUUAAUUGAAAACUUGUAUGAAUGGUUGAAUGAGAAAUUAACUUUUUUAAAAAAAUAAUUGAAUUUUACUUUUUAAUUAAAAGGUUAAAAUAAAUUUAAAAGACGAGAAGACCCUAUAGAGUUUUAUAAUUUUUAUUUAAUAUUUAAAAAGAUUAAUUAAAAUUUUAUAAAAGAAAAUAUUUUGUUGGGGUGAUAAUAAAAUUUAAAUAACUUUUAUUUUUUUUUACAUUAAUAUAUGAAUUUAUGAUCCAUUAUUUAUGAUUAGAAAUUUAAAUUACCUUAGGGAUAACAGCGUAAUUUUUUUUUAAAGUUCAUAUUAAUAAAAAAUUUUGCGACCUCGAUGUUGGAUUAAGAUUUAAUUUUAGGUGCAGCAGUUUAAAUUUUAAGUCUGUUCGACUUUUAAAUUCUU
rnacentral:rRNA from 1 species